CGUGGAGACAGGUGGUGCAUGGCUGUCGUCAGCUCGCGUCGUGAGAUGUUGGGUUAAGUCCCGCAACGAGCGCAACCCUCACCUCUUGUUGCCAUCAGGUCAUGCUGGGCACUCUAGAGGAACUGCCCCGGUCAACGGGGAGGAAGGCGGGGAUGACGUCAAGUCAUCAUGCCCCUUACGUCCUGGGCUACACACGUGCUACAAUGGCCGGUACAAAGGGAUGCCACACCGCGAGGUAGAGCUAAACCCAAAAAGCCGGUCUAAGUUCAGAUUGGAGUCUGCAACUCGACUCCAUGAAGGAGGAAUCGCUAGUAAUCGCGUAUCAGCACGACGCGGUGAAUACGUUCCCGGGCCUUGUACACACCGCCCGUCACACCACGAAAGCCUGCUGUACUCGAAGUCGCUGAG
rnacentral:rRNA from 1 species